rnacentral:lncRNA from 1 species
AUGAUACUCAAAGUGUAUACAUUAUGUACAGCUAAAGUGUAUCAGUUAUACCUUAAUAAAGGGAUGCAGGGGUUUUUUUGCGUGUUUUUUUUUUUUUUAAUGAAAAUAAAACCUUGUGCUCUUCAUUUUUCUGCAGAAUUUCUACAAGUAUCUUGUUUGACCAGUGUUUGGAAUUUCAGAGCGUGGAAGGAGGUACCGGCCCUUGAGGCCUCUAACCCUGGCUCCUGCAACGGGAGUACUUGACAAGAAGGGAGAUUGGCGUCGAUGUCAGCUAUGGUAAGACCUGCUAAUCUAAGGUGCCCCCGUUGUAAUAAUGUAACCUAAGGGUGCCCAGCAACUCUGAGAGCAAAGGGUGUUUUAUUUUUUCACAACUUCUUCUUUUGAAAGAUUCCAAGCCAAUAGAAAUGUUUUUGGGGCACCUGGGUGGCUCAGUGGUUGAGCUUCUGGCCUUGGGCUGGAGUUGUCGGGGUCCUGGGAUCCAUUCCUGCAUCAGGCUCCCCGCAGGGAACCUGCUUCUCCCUUUACCUAUGUCUCAGCUUUUCUCUGUGUGUCUUAUGAAUAAAUAAAUAAAUCUUUAAAAUUGUGCA